rnacentral:rRNA from 1 species
CAGCAGCCACGGGAAUACGUAGGUGGCAAGCGUUGUCCGGAUUUAUUGGGCGUAAAGCGAGCGCAGGCGGUUCCUUAAGUCUGAUGUGAAAGCCCCCGGCUCAACCGGGGAGGGUCAUUGGAAACUGGGGAACUUGAGUGCAGAAGAGGAGAGUGGAAUUCCAUGUGUAGCGGUGAAAUGCGUAGAUAUAUGGAGGAACACCAGUGGCGAAGGCGACUCUCUGGUCUGUAACUGACGCUGAGGCUCGAAAGCGUGGGUAGCAAACAGGAUUAGAUACCCCCGUAGUCCCUGUCUCUUAUAC